rnacentral:rRNA from 1 species
AUAAAACUCCUAAACCCCUGUGAACUCACUAUGUUGGAUUCUCGCCAGAGAUAGUCUGGUUUCUGCUUCGCGGAUCGCCUGCCCGUGACACCUGUCACAGGUAGGUAUGCUUCUGCCGCGGGUCCGCAGGUAAAUCGUCUGUUUCACAAGGGACGGCGAUUUUACCUGUGGAAGAGGUCCGCUAACUAUAUUCUUAGUAUAGUUUGUUCACUAGAUCAAACAUUCUGAAUAAAAACUUAAACUAGUUAAAACUUUCAACAACGGAUCUCUUGGUUCUGGCAUCGAUGAAGAACGCAGCGAAAUGCGAUAAGUAAUGUGAAUUGCAGAAUUCAGUGAAUCAUCGAAUCUUUGAACGCACAUUGCGCCCAUUAGUAUUCUAGUGGGCAUGCCUGUUCGAGCGUCAUUUCAACCCUUAAGCCUCUGUUGCUUAGCGUUGGGAGCCUACAGCCUGCUGUAGCUCCUUAAAGGUAGUGGCGGAGUCGGUUCACACUCUAGACGUAGUAAAAUCUUUAUCUCGCCUAUAGAUGAGCCGGCGCCUUGCCGUAAAACCCCUACUCUUUCACAAGGUUGACCUCGGAUCAGGUAGGAAUACCCGCUGAACUUAAGCAUAUCAAUAAGCGGAGGAAAAGAAACCAACAGGGAUUGCCCUAGUAACGGCGAGUGAAGCGGCAACAGCUCAAAUUUGAAAUCUGGCCUUCGGGUCCGAGUUGUAAUUUGCAGAGGAUGCUUUGGGCGCGGUGCCUUCCGAGUUCCCUGGAACGGGACGCCUUAGAGGGUGAGAGCCCCGUACGGUUGGACACCAAGCCUCUGUAAAGCUCCUUCGACGAGUCGAGUAGUUUGGGAAUGCUGCUCUAAAUGGGAGGUAAAUUUCUUCUAAAGCUAAAUAUUGGCCAGAGACCGAUAGCGCACAAGUAGAGUGAUCGAAAGAUGAAAAGCACUUUGAAAAGAGGGUUAAAUAGCACGUGAAAUUGUUGAAAGGGAAGCGUUUGCGACCAGACCUUUUCCCAGCGGAUCAUCCGGUGUUCUCACCGGUGCACUUCGCUGGGUUGAGGCCAGCAUCGGUUUCCGCAGGGGGAUAAAAGCCUGGGGAACGUAGCUCCCUCGGGAGUGUUAUAGCCCCUCGCAUAAUACCCUUGCGGGGACCGAGGACCGC